GCUCAGUUGGUAAAGCGCAAAGCUCUUAACCUUGUGGACGUGGGUUCAAGCCCCAU
rfam:Triticum aestivum genome assembly, contig: Triticum_aestivum_CS42_TGACv1_scaffold_485801_6AS